rnacentral:rRNA from 1 species
GAUAAACGCUGGCGGCGUGCAUAACACAUGCAAGUCGAACGAAGUGGCGAACGGGUGAGUAACACGUGAGUAACCUGCCUUACACAAGGGGAUAGCCUUUGGAAACGAAGAAUAAUACCAUAUAGUGUAAGAUGGACUUGCGUCUGAUUAGCUAGUUGGUGAGAUAAAGGCCCACCAGGGCAACGAUCAGGAGCCGGCUUUGGGGAGUGUACGGCCACAUUGGGACUGAGACACGGCCGAAACUCGCCGGGAGGCAGCAGGGGGGAAUUUGGCACAAGGGGGGAAACCCUGAGGCAGCGAGUCCGCGUGAUUUAGAAGGCCUGCGGGUUGUAAAAAUCUUUUGUAUGGGAUGCAGUACCAUAAGAAUAAGGUCCGGCGAAAUACGUGCCAGCAGCCGCGGUAAUUC